rnacentral:ncRNA from 1 species
AGACAGCGCUAGCGCGCUUCCUCAGCCCGAACGGCAUCGAAGUAACGAAUGGAUAAAACAAGCCUCUUAUCCAUGACUCACU